AUGGACAAGACCGGUGCCUUGUCUCUGACCCUGCUCUUCCUGUUCGUCGCCGGGGCCGAGGCCGACAAGUGCAAGGACGUCCGAGCGACGUCCACUGCGGCCUGCCGUCAGGCGAGCACCAGCAAGCUCCUGUACGACAUCUGCGUCCAGAUGCUUGCGGGCUCACCGGAUAGGGGUGACGUACGCAGCCACGCGCUCACUGCCGCCGGCGCAGUCCUCGAGUCCUACGCGGCCACUGGCGUGGCAAUCAAUAAGAUGCUGCGGUCGGGAUCCGACCGCAUGAAGGAGGCUAUGUUAUUCUGUACACAGUACUACUACCAUGCGCAAAUUCGCUUCAAGGAGAUCAAGACAUUGCUGGAGGACAACUCCGAUUGCGACCUCAAGACAUUCGAGGCAGUGUACUCGGACGCCAUCAUGCGCCUCGACGACUGCCGUAGCAAGAUGAUUCCCAUCCAAGGCGAGUCGCCGUCCAUGUACGGCAUGAUCUACACCGAUGGCCACCGGAGCUUUUUGGCUUUCCGGCUGGGCCUGCUGGUUGCUAACCCCUAG
rnacentral:rRNA from 1 species